UACAAUAUAGGAAUGCAAAACAAGAGAAAGAAACGGUUAGAAUACUAAUACCAAAUUGGCUCGAAAAUAGCAUUGUGUGAUAUUAUUUUUUUUGGGUAAGUAGCAUAAGUUCCUGUGUAAUUCUAAUCUUGGUGCUCUUCUCUCAAGCAAUCCAUAGAAUCUCAAGCAACUUGACGUGCGAUGUUAUCAAUUAGUUGAUCUAUUAGUGUGUCUAAAACAUAUUAACAUUCAUAUUAAACUUUACAUAAGUCACCUCACAUCAUUGUUACAAAAUGAGCUUAACUAAUUAACACAUUGGCUUUAUUAUCUCACAUAUUAAUAUUAUUAACUCAAACACUCAAGAUUAUAAAAAAUAUCACGUAAAAGCAUUCAAACAUCCGAAGAUCGAAAGAAACACAUAUUCUUGCAUUAAAAGCUAUCGCAUUGAAUAAUGAAAUACCAGCCUUAAUAUCUUGCAAUAUAGCUUUUAAAGAAUCCAUUUGGAACUCCAAAUCUUGUCCCUUCUUUAAAUAACCUCAAUUGUUUGUUUAAAUGUCACUUUACCAAAAUAACUCUCUCCUAAAAGAACUUAAAUGUAAGCCCGAGAAAUCAAAAAAUUAUCCAAAAGCAUAGUUGUGUAGAAACAAUUCUCUGCAACAACUCAAAAUUAGGAUUACUGUUCACAUUUAGUUUAACUAACACAAAAUUAAUUGAAAAGAAGUGGCUUCAUGCCCUCAUCUUUUGUUCAGAAAAGGAAUUCACAAGAAUGCUACAACCAAUAAAGAAGGUAAAAACUGAACCAUAUGUCUAGAAGUCUUGUUGAUCAAAUAUAUAUCAUCAGAUAAGAAAAAUAAAGUUAGAUAUACAUGCCAACUAAACCUUUGCCAUUCAACACUUUUUAGCUACUUUUUAUACAAAAAAAACGCCAGCAACUAAUGCUUGUUGCACCUGAAAUUGGUACAUCAUAAACUCACACAUAAUUCAAGAUAAGUCGAAUAACUCCAAUCAGGAUUGAUUACUAAUAUUUUUUUGUCUAAUGACAUAACAAAAAAGCUAAAAGGCUCAUACUAUCUGUAAAAAGUCAUCGCAUUGGUAAAAAAUUGACAAUAUACUUUAUAUUUGACGCAUGUAAGGUGUAUUCAUUACUGGAAGCACCAAGAAAGUGCUGAUUUACGAAAGAUAAAAGAAACUGGAGAUCCAAGAGCACACACAAUAAAUGAUUGAUAGGUUUAUCUCUAAAAUUAAUUGCCACAACAAAAACAGAAAGAAAUUUAAAAUAUAUGCCUAAUCUUCGUGGAAAGGUUUUCUAAUGCUUCUAUAAGGUAGGAGUACUUUAAACAUACUUGUUUAAAGUAUGCAAGAAUAUGUGUGUCAACAAACUUCAUACAAUAGAGGAGCAGAAAGCUAUGACUUUUCUGCUGAAGCCACUGGAUAUGGCGGCAAAGUUGCCGGUAAUGUCAUUUUUUACUGCACGCUCUACCAUUUGACUCUGAUUAUAAAGCUCAUUUGUCAUUUUUAUUGUAUUGCUAUUAUUGUAUUGCUGUUAUUUUAUUAUGCAUUUUUAUGGUACUAAUAUAUCGGUUUCGGUUGCUUUUUGAGUCGAUGGUCUCCUGGAAACAGCCUCUCUACCCUUCGGGGUAGGGGUAAGGUCUGCGUACAUAUUACCCUCCCCAGACCCCACGUGUGGGAUUAUACUGGGUUGUUGUUGUUGUUGUAACAUCCCCAAUUUAGAAUCUUAUGUAAAAAUUAUAGAAUCCCAGAAACUACAGAAUCAUAAUUACCAAUUUAUAACCAAAAAAAUAAAUGCAAACACUUAAAUUAAUCAAUUACCUUUCUAAAGCAAAGUUGGACCUUUAGAGUAAGCUAAACCCAACUUGUGUAUUCAAAUACUUGGUUAAGAACUCCAUGAAUCGAACUGAAAUGUCAAGCAACGCCACUUUAAAGAAACCUAAC
rnacentral:lncRNA from 1 species